rnacentral:lncRNA from 1 species
UAUAGUGAUUUACACUAUUGAAUUUCAAAAGCGUGGAUUGCCUCAUGCACAUAUCUUACUUUUUCUCCAUGAUAAAUUUCCAAAUGUUGGAGACAUUGAUGCGAUUAUUUCAGCUGAAUUGCCUGAUAAAUUACUUGAUCCGGAUUAUUAUGUGGUUGUUACAAACUUCAUGAUGCAUGGGCCAUGUGGUUCAAUAAGGAAAUCAUCCCCUUGCAUGCAAAAAGGCAAAUGUACAAAGCACUUUCCAAAAAGAUUUUUACCAUCUACCUCACUUGAUGAAGAAGGAUAUCCUUUAUAUCGAAGAAGAGAUGAUGGUAGAUCUACACAGAGAUCAGGUAUUGAUUUAGAUAAUCGAUAUGUUGUACCACAUAAUAAUUUUUUGCUAAUGAAAUAUGGGGCACAUAUUAAUGUUGAAUGGUGCAAUCAAUCAAGAUCGAUUAAAUACUUAUUUAAGUAUGUUAAUAAAGGUCAUGAUCGAGUCACAGUAGCUUUUUGCGAUAGUGUUAAUUCUUCAGAUUCAAAGGUUGUUGAUGAAAUAAAAAUGUAUUGUGAUUGUCGCUAUAUAUCAUCCUGUGAAGCAGCUUGGAGAAUUUUCAAAUUCCCAAUCAACCAUAGAGAACCUUUUGUAGAAAGGUUAUCUUUUCAUCUACCAGACAAUCAAAAUGUCAUAUUUUCAGAUGAUGAUCCAAUUGAUGUUGUUAUCAAUAAACCAACAGUGAAGGAAUCAAUGUUUUUAAGAUGGUUGGAAGCUAAUAAGGAAUUUCCUGAAGCAAGACAUCUAACGUAUGCAGAAUUUCCUUUAAAGUUUGUUUGGAAGCAACAAUCUAAGAGAUGGGAAAAAAGGAAAACUUCAGCAUUUUCUAUUGGAAGAAUUUUCUUUGUUCCACCAGGAUCAGGUGAGCAAUAUUACCUUAGAUUGCUAUUGAAUGUUGUUAAAGGUCCAACUUCUUAUGAGGAAAUCAGAAGAAUAAAUGAUAUUUAUCAUGAGACCUUUAGAGAUGCAUGUUAUGCUCUAGGAUUAUUAGAUGAUGACAAAGAAUAUGUUGAUGCUAUAGUAGAAGCAAGUCAAUGGGGAAUGCCAUCAUAUCUACGACAAUUAUUUGCUAUGCUACUUAUAUCUAAUUCAAUGUCACGUCCGGAGAUAGUGUGGCAAUCAACUUGGCACUUACUAUCAGAAGAUAUCGUUUUUGAAGAAAGAAGAAUAUUAGAUAACCCAGGUAUUUAAUAAUGUUUACACUUGACACUAAUCAUAUAUAAUCUUUUUUUUUUCUUUUUCUUAUUAUUUAUUAUUAUUUUACUUUUAAAAUUUUUUAAUAAUUAGUAAAUUAGAAUUAGAUUAUUUUAUUAAAUUAGUAUAUGUUUAUAUGUUUUUUCAGAAGUUUAUCUAUCUGAAGCAGAUUUGAAGAAUCGUUGCUUGCAAAAGAUUGAAACCUUUUUAAAAGGUUGUGGAAGGAGUUUUCAAGAUUUUUCAACAAUGCCAUUACCUGUCUAUAAUGAGGAUGAGGUCGAUUAUAGCAACAGAUUAAUUCGAGAUGAAAUGCGUUACAAUAAAGGUGCUUUAACUGAUGAACAUCAAGAAUUGCUACAAAAUUUAACUGAUGAACAUAAAGCAGUUUACAAAAAGAUUAUGUCAGCAGUUAUUACAAAUAGUGGUGGAUUUUUCUUUUUAUACGGCUUUGGAGGUACAGGAAAAACUUUUAUUUGGAGGACAUUAUCAGCAGCUAUACGAUCUAAAGGAGAUAUUGUUUUGACAGUAGCUUCUAGCGGGAUUGCAUCUCUAUUGUUGCCUGGUGGUAGAACAUCACAUUCAAGAUUUGUUAUCCCUUUGAAUAUAAAUGAAGAUUCAACAUGUAAUAUAAAGCAAGGUACUCCUUUAGCAAAUUUGAUAGUCAAGGCAAAGUUGAUUAUUUGGGAUGAGGCUCCUAUGAUGCAUAAAUAUUGUUUUGAAGCUUUGGAUAAAACUUUAAGAGAUAUUAUUAGCUAUAAAGAUGCAUCUAAGGCAGAAUUACCAUUUGGAGGAAAAACAGUUGUUCUUGGAGGUGACUUUAGACAAAUUUUACCCGUUAUUCCAAAAGGUACUAGACAAGAUAUUGUUAAUGCAAUUGUAAAUUCAUCAUAUUUAUGGCCACAAUGUCAACUAUUGACUCUAACAAAGAAUGUGAGGUUACAAAGCAAUGCAAACGAUACACAUUUGGAAGAAUUGAGAGAUUUUUCUAAUUGGAUAUUGAAAGUUGGGGAUGGUAGCAUUGGAAGUUCAAUUGAUGGAAUAGACAAAGUUUUAAUACCUAAUGAUCUUCUAAUAAAUGAGUAUAUUGAUCCUAUAGCAUCUAUUGUUGAAAGUAUUUAUCCAGAUUUCAUCACUAAUUGCAAUGAUCCAGAGUACCUUCAACAAAGAGCCAUUCUUGCUCCAACUCUUGAUAUGGUUGAAUCGAUAAAUCAGUAUAUGAUUACUCUUAAUCAUAAUCCUGAGAAAUCAUAUUUAAGUUCUGAUAAAAUUUGCAGGUCUGAUCAUACUUAUUCAGCUUUGGAACAUGUACAUACCCCUGAAUUUUUGAACAAUAUUAAAUGUUCUGGCGUUCCAAAUCAUUCAAUCACUUUAAAGGUUGGGGUUCCAGUGAUGUUACUAAGAAAUAUCGAUCAGUCAGCGGGAUUAUGUAAUGGAACUAGAUUGAUUGUUACUAAACUUGGAAAUCAAGUAAUUGAAGCAAAGGUUUUAUCUGGACAGAUGGUUGGCCGGAAGGUAUUUAUUCCAAGAAUGACUUUAACACCUUCAGAUUAUAGAAUUCCUUUUAAGUUUCAAAGAAGACAGUUUCCUAUAACUGUAUCAUUUGCUAUGACAAUCAAUAAGAGUCAAGGACAGUCUUUAUCUCAUGUGGGCUUAUUUCUGAAGAAGCCAGUGUUUACGCAUGGACAUUUAUAUGUUGCUCUUUCCAAAGUGACAAAUAGAAAGGGAUUAAAAAUACUUACUUACGAUGAAGAUGGGCAAAUAAGUAAUGAAGCCACAAAUGUAGUAUAUAAAGAAGUACUCCAAGACUUAUUUGACAUACAUUGUAUUUUUUAACUUUUAUAUAUAUACUACAAUUUUUGUUGUGUAUGUUACAAUAACUUUUAUAUUAACUGUUAUAUAUGUUUUAGGUUUCAUUAAUAAUGUAAUUUAACUUAGUAAGUUAACAUUAAGUAGGUACACAUUAAUAAAAAAAGACAAAGAAAGUCCAAAUUACUUUGAAAUAUGCAAUAGUCGAUAUGUACUAACCUUAAUUAGCUAAUUAUAAUCACUGCUAUUUUCCAUCGAUACACUAGCAGAAAAAAAAUCUUCCCAUUAUCAACUUCUCCGCCAUCUACAAUACACUUAUUAAAAAGCAAAUAUGAAAAUAUAUUAGGCAAUUUUUUUCAGUUAGAAUGCAUUAAGACAGAAAUUGUAUUAUGAAACAUUGCUCAAAAUAGUUGUAUAUAUAUAAAUUAUCAUAAACUACACAAAUCUAUAUAUUAAUACUACUAUUAAACAUUAAUAAUAAAUACAACUUCAUAGUUAUCAGAUAGUUUUAAAUACGAGUACAGAUAGAUUAUAAGACUUCACACAUUUACAAUCUUUACUAUUUUUUUAACUUUACUCAUUUAUCUAAAAAGUAAAAGUCACAAGUUCCUAUAUUUUAAGGUCAUUUUAAACAAAUUAUGAUUUGGAAACCAAGAAAAUGAUAACUUUUUCUUAUAAUAUAUAAUAAACUGUGUCUUGAAAAUUCACAUUAAAAAUUUUCAAGUACAAUUUACUCCGGCUUGCUUGGAAAACUGUAACUCAGAUUAUAUAUACAAAAUCUCUGAAUCACCAAACAAGAUACCAAAAUCUUUAUCAACAUAAGCUUAUUAUAGCUUUGCAAUAACAUGCAUUUACUACUUUAUAAUUUAAAUUAAAGUUAAACUAUUAGCCGUAUCUGACCAUCCCAAAUAGAUAUGAAGGAGACAUAACCUGAUAAAUCUCAUUAAAAUUAAUCCAAAACAAGAACUACUUCAUGCUAAUAUAUUCUUCAAUUGAAGUUUUCAUUAUGAAGGAUCAAUAUAAAAAAAUGUCAAAAAUUUAACUCACCAUUUCACAGUACAUUGAAUUUUUGUCGGAACGAUACUAGAUCUGAAAACAACUCCUAUCAAAUGUUUUAUGCAAUAUAUAUUAAUCUUAACCUGCUUGAAGAAAGUCAUUUUUAUGCUAUGUUAUCAUUUGCAUGUUCAAAUGUUGAAAUUCUAAAAUUAACUUUACCAUAUAUUUGCAGAAGACAUUCAUAGUAGAAAAGACAAUAGAAGAUUUACUAAAGAGAUGAAAGAAAUAGCACUCACAACAUUGACAAAUCACUCAGAAACUUAGCGAAGAUCCACACUCGGAAGAGGUACCUCACCUUUCAAAUCUGGAAAAUUUUGUUCAUAUUUUGGUCUCUUUCCAGAGAGAUCCAUUUUGUUUGUUUUUUACGUUUUUCCCUUUUUACUUUCCAAUUACUUUUGGAUUUUGGUGGGUUGUCCAAAAGUCUAUUUGAUUUUACUUUUUUCCAAUUCACUUAGAUUGACCAUAUUUUAAUAAAACUAAUAAAUACAUAUACA